CUUUACCAAAAGCCUUUUAUUAAAGGGUGUCACAGUGGGCCCGAAGUUCACUAGCUUCUACUUAAAAACAAGCCCCAGACUCAGCCUACCUGAACUCUGGAGAACCAAAGUUGGUUCUCUGAAGGUGUAGAGGGACAGGUGCCCGUUUUAAUUCCUCGCUCUCUCCUCCCCCAAUCCCCCCACCUUUCCGCGGUCGUGACGCUGACCUCCCCAGGAGCGAUUCGGAUGUCCCGUGGCUCCUGCCUUAGCUCUGCCGGGUGGACCGAGGCUGUCCUCCUCCAACCGUGCACACAUCCCCCUCCCCCCGCAACACACACACAUACACACACCUCGCCCGGCCAGAUCUCCCUCAAGCAACGCUGCCUGCCUCUUGCCCAGCGCCAAACUCUGAAGGUUUGGAAAAUCCGGGACAAAAACGUAGGCGGCGGGAAUCGGCGAGAAGGACGCGAGAUAAAGAGACCACCUAGAAGGAAAUUAACCCAACGUUCCCAUUGCGGGGGCCUCUCCUGACCCGAUUUUCUCCUUCCGGAGCGCUCCGCAGAGCACAAACUGCAAGGGAGAGCGAGCCAAGCCAGAGCCCGAGGCGCCUGUCAAGACGCGCGCUACUUGGAAUCCACCCCCACCUCUCGCCAAGACCUCAAAGUUGGAAAGCACCUCAUCUCAGCCUCUCCGUGCAUUGGUAGGGUUACUUCUGCUUUCUGUUCUUAAGAAGUGUGCUGCUGUAUCAUACCAAAACCACUUAUUGAUUGCAAAAGAAAAAAAUGAAGUGGAUAAAAUGGAUCUGACCUUAACGAGCAAUGAAUGAAGAGUUCCUGUUGUUCUAUAUCCUCGUCAGCAUUUCGUGUUGUCAGUAUUUUGGAUUUUGGCCCAUUCUCCUAGGUGUACAGUAGGUCUCAUCUUUGUUUUGGUCAAGGCAAAGCCGGAUCCUUAACCGCUGAG